rnacentral:rRNA from 1 species
AUUGAACGCUGGCGGCAGGCCUAACACAUGCAAGUCGAGCGGAUGAAGGGAGCUUGCUCCUUGAUUCAGCGGCGGACGGGUGAGUAAAGCCUAGGAAUCUGCCUAGUAGUGGGGGACAACGUUUCGAAAGGAACGCUAAUACCGCAUACGUGCUACGGGAGAGAGUGGGGGCUCUUCGGACCUCACGCUAGUAGAUGAGCCUAGGUCGGAUUAGCUAGUUGGUAGGGUAAAGGCCUACCAAGGCGACGAUCCGUAACUGGUCUGAGAGGAUGAUCAGUCACACUGGAACUGAGACACGGUCCAGACUCCUACGGGAGGCAGCAGUGGGGAAUAUUGGACAAUGGGCGCAAGCCUGAUCCAGCCAUGCCGCGUGUGUGAAGAAGGCCUUCGGGUCGUAAAGCACUUUAAGUUGGGAGGAAGGGCUUACGGUUAAUACCUGUGAGUUUUGACGUUACCAACAGAAUAAGCACCGGCUAACUUCGUGCCAGCCGCCGCCGUAA